UACGUAGGUGGCAAGCGUUAUCCGGAAUUAUUGGGCGUAAAGCGCGCGCAGGCGGUUUCUUAAGUCUGAUGUGAAAGCCCACGGCUCAACCGUGGAGGGUCGUUGGGGACGGCGGGGCUUGAGGGCGGGAGAGGUCGGUGGAAUUCCCGGUGUAGUGGUGAAAUGCGUAGAGAUCGGGAGGAACACCUGUGGCGAAGGCGGCCGACUGGGCCGACCCUGACGCUGAGGCGCGAAGGCGUGGGGGAGCGAACGGG
rnacentral:rRNA from 1 species